rnacentral:misc_RNA from 1 species
AAAAAUAAGUUUUAGAAGUCACGCGUAAGUUAUCAGAAUCAUGUGUUAUGAGAUGAUAAAAUUUUCUUACAUAGUCAUUGCACUUAUGCUAUGCCAAAUCAAACCUUCAAGCCUCCACAAAUGUUUUUGAAAGUUUAUGAUACUACCAAGAAAAAAUAAGUACAAUUAAUACAAUAGACACAAUUAAGAAAUAAAGUUACUAAUAGGAUAGACACAAUUAAAUGAACUAAUCAAGAUAAAGAAAUUCUAUCGAGAAACAGGUUCAAGUUGUAAACAACAUUUUAAAGAAGUUCAAAUGCUUUAUUUAGAAGACCAAAAGUACAAUAUAUUGUGAAAAUGACUUGUAUUUCGUAGAAAACAUGAA